UGAGACACCAGUGAUCUUCUUGUUCU
rnacentral:piRNA from 1 species